rnacentral:rRNA from 1 species
CCCUUAGACACUCUAGGCGGCACGCGCGCUACAAUGGGCGGGAGAACGUGUUACUGCCACUGAAAAGUGGGGUGAAUCACGAAUCCUUGCCCGUGAAUGGGAUAGUUUGUUGCAAUUUUCGGACUUGAACUAGGAAUCCCUUGUAAGCAUGCUCAAGAAUAGCGUGUUGAAUACGUCCCUGCCGUUUAUACACACCGCCCGUCGUUUCUUCCGACUGAUACUCAUUGUGAGUUGCAAGGAUCCUUUAUUGGAAAAUUGCCGCGAAUGCUUUGUAUUGGAGGAAGAAAAAGUCGUAACA